rnacentral:lncRNA from 1 species
GUGACACUGCAGUCCUUGCUGGGGUCAUUACGCAAGCACUGAGUGAGUGGGCCUUGAGCUGCUUGCCUUUGCCUUCAGCUCUUUGUGAUUCUCUCCUGUCUGCCAGCCUGGCUGAGGUUCUGUCUGGGUUCAAAAGUCUUCACCAUGAGACUAUUUAGCUGGGUGCAGAAGAGAGAAAAUGUUCUCUUAGCCUCUGAUGAGAUGCAUGGUCAUGUGACUGAGUCAUGAUCAAUGGGACAUAAAUGGAAAUGGCAGAUGGCCUGGAUUUUGAUUCUCCUCUAAAAGCGUUCACCAUUAGAAUUACUGGAAAGGCUGUACAGAGACUCGUGAGCAGAGUUACCAGUAACUCUAAGACCAGCGUACCACAGGAAUUUCCAGAACUCCGUGAAGAGGCCGAAGGCUCGCCAAGUGCCAGCGCAACUUGGAAGAGGAACUAAGGAAGGAGACUGAGUCAACGAGUGAAACCAUGGGUUUUCUGCCCUUUACUUGAAAGAUUACUUUUUUGUUGUUGUUUUCUAGAUUUAAAGCUUCUGAAGCUAUCUACAGCUUACAGUAAUUUGAUAAAAAUAUACUUUUGUAAACAGGUGGGAAUAAUUUACUUUUCCCUCCCUGCUUAAUUCCUCUCAAAUUAAAAACCUUAUUCAUAUUUUUAACAGCAGUGUGGUUAUUUGCAUAAGCUCAGUAAGAAUCUGUUCUCUUUAAAAUAGACUGCAAGGGGAAAUGCUGGCCGAUCUGAAAGCAUUCCAGGGUGCCUGGCUCCAAGGGUCCCCAGCCUUGUAUGCAAAAAACCCAUGGCCCCUGCAGGCCUGGAGCCCGGCACAUGAAGUGUAUACCCAGGGCAUCCCGUCUGCUCUCCAGCCACCACAGGUUUCUGUUUUUUUUUUUUUUGUACCAGGGACCAAACUCUGGACCUUGUGCUUGCAAGGCAGGCGAUGGAACCACUGAGCUAAAUCCCAGGCACCUCCAGAGGUUUCUAAGUCCGAGGUUACUCCACAGCAAAUCUC